GUCCAAUGCUCGAAACGUUUGACAGAUUCUCCCACUUUGAAGUGAUGGAGGCGUGGACCUCCAAAAACGUCACCCCUGAUUGGUUAGAGUGGUUGCCGUAGAAACGAUGACUCGGGUUGACUGAUUUCUGUUGAAAUUUGUUGAAACUGGAGGUACCGGUUCAAUACUCAUCCCUACUGAAGACAGCAGUGAAGAAGAUCUUCUGCUUGCCUCCCAAAUCGAGUCAGUUUCAAAUGAGCUUGUUCUCACUUUCCCAGCUUUUUUGUUAUCUUAAGAUUGACCGUCAUCCCUUAACGUGAGGGUUUAACGUCUAAACCGACGGACGAACCGGAUCUGCUCUCCGAAAGCCUCCAACCCUCACAGCGGCUCAGCUAGCGGAAGGCUGACUGAUGAGUGGGAGGAAAACCUAAUGAGCUGAACUCCCAGAAUGACUCAAUGAACAGCAAGCCUCCCACACAGAAUUCAGAUCAUUUUUUUUUUUAAUCUGGAAAAUAGAUUAAAAUAAGAAACUCUACAUGAGGACUGUGGGAUUCUGGUGGGAACUGGGAGUGAUUCACAGCACAGGCGUCCUGCCUCUUCCUCCAGCUUCCUCCACCGACGGGUUCGCGCCUUCCUGCCUCUCCGUUCUUUAUUUCUAUUUUUGCCUCCUCAGAAAAUGAAAGCUUAUCGAGGUUUUUCACCUCGAAGGUCAAGCUCCUCUGACAGAUUACUACUGCUGAGAAGUCUGUGCUGUUUUCCACGUGUGGAGGAGGAAAUCUCCACUGUGAAUUGAAGCAAAGAGUCUGGAAUGAGUGUAAACUCCAAAGUCUCAUCAAUGCUCUGACCUGGAGCAUCACAAACAAGCAGGUUCAAGAGAGCAGCAAUCCGGCCCACUGGAAGGAGCAGCGGUUGAGGAGGACACUCCAGGAUUACUUCAUGACAGACGAGACCGUCUCUGCUGAGUUUUACUGGAUUGCUGCACUGAAAGGAUUCAGCGAGCCGGUGUGCGAGGAUUUGCUGCGUCCUGCCAGGGAGCCGUCGAUGACCCCAGAGGAAACUCAUUCCCCCCCCCUCCUCCUCCCCCCGAGGGCGACCGGCUCAGAGCUGCUGCUCAUGCAUCACCCAGAAAAGCUGUUUGCAGCAGCUGGUGCCGCUCCACACAUCACAGCCAGCAGACUGAC
rnacentral:lncRNA from 1 species